GACAGUUUUGUGAUGCUUCCAAUUUUUAAAGAAGACCUCACUAGUAAGCUGAAAACACCCUGUCUGUAAGCUGCAAUGCAACAUGCAAGCAGGAAAGGAACUUGUCUUGGCACAUCUUCUAACGGGUUGUGAAAGAUCUGUUGCUCUUGCCCAUUGGAAGAACUUUCUCGAGUAUCGGACAUCUUGGUUUGAUUACAUCGUUCCAGAGAAGUCAUGAAUUAGAACCUGAGCAUUCACAGGAAUGGUUUUAAUAACGUGUUUCCAGGCACCAUCUUUAUGAAGCAUGGGAGAACAGCACUUCUCUGCCUAGCAGACAUCUGGAAGGAAAAGUUUAUUGAAGGCUAUAAGAUGUACUUAACUGGAAAUUAAACCAUGGGAGAAGAAUGGAAGGUUGAAAGUCAUUCGUAAAUACUGAGGCUCUGGGAAUGCUAUGUGUCUCGAGCUGGCUGUGCAGUGUCACUGGUCAGAAGCAGCUGGGGGCACAGCCUGGACAGACCCUGUAGUGCAGUGGGGUUCGUGAUGUGAUGGGCUCUGCCACAGGGCCCGCAAAGGCUGCAGGUCUCCAGGUCCGACGGGAUCCAUCCUGCCAAGUGAAACAGCACUUCUCCUCUCUGAAAGCGAGAGGCGGAGACAGACAAGGGAGGUGGGGCAGACUGGCAACCCAGGAGAGUGUGUCUGGCUCUCUUUUCCCCCAGACAGGAGUCAACUGCUGUGCUUCUCACUCUUCUUCAGCAUCACCAUCAGCCAUCUCUCCCUUCAGAGAGCUGGAAUGGGGAAGCAGGUAGCAGGGACACAGGAGUGUUUUCCUACCCCCAGCAAUUUGCUGCUGUAGCCACUCAUCUGCUUCAGCUGCACACUUUUAGUGGAUCCUGCGUUGGGAAGAGUGAACAGAGACUGGCUCACACUGUGGCAGCAGGUGAUCUGCUAAAUGCCAGUGUAUUGGAAAAUUGGAUUUGAGGAGGGAUGAAAUUUUAUUGUAUCUUGAUUCAGGAUGUCAGUAGUGUUCAUUUUUAUGCUUUUAGAUCUAUAUAGCUAUAUAGGCAUAUGUAUAUGUACACACACAUAUGUAUAUGUACACACAUAUUUACUACAUAUACACAUGUAAAAUAUUAACAAAUCUGAGUGGGAAAGUUUCUGGGACUAUCAGUUCACAGACCAAAGAAAACUGAGGAACUCUACCCUGGAUUGGGAUAGAUGUCAUUUUCCCAAGUUGUAUUUUAUUGUGUCAUUUUGGGUGUGGCCUUUUUUAGUAAACAGAAGAAAACCAAGAGAGAUACUUUCUGAGCUUGCUAGCAACUAGCAUUUUAACAUCUGUCUGAGGUGAUGUAAAGUUAUUUUACAGGGCAUUUACAAAUCCUUUCUGUUCAGCUUUGGUGUGUGCACCUUGUCCCAUCUUUUUUUGAUGAAAGCUGUGUUAUACUCCAUCUACACUUGCAAUGGACCCCAGAAAUCAUUAGAUGAAGUUUUUUGGCUGGGUUGCAACAUACAUUUCAAUAAGUGUUUUUUAUAGCAAGACUGUGGUAAAAGAUCUGCUCUCAUAGAAUAUGCAUGGCUUUUAAAAUGCUUUGCUCAGAUUAAUUUUUUUCAUUCCCAACAAGUCCAAUAGCAACUUAUUACUGGAGUUUUUUUCAUUAAAUAGCUGGAAACAACUGUACUGCAGCAAAUUAUAAGUAUGCGAUAUUAUUCUGAAAAUUCUGCACUGUAAAGCAUGAACAUAAUUUUCUUGCUUAUAAGAUACUUUCCAUGCUCUGCACAAAUCUCUUAUGUGUCUUGUGUUAUGGUUGCCCUUAUUUUCAUUAAAAUUUAUUGCAGUGCUUUGUCUGAAGAAAAUAUUUUGAUUGGUUAGUAAACAAGCCACAGGGGGUAGGUAAUUUACAUGAAUUCUGUUGAAAUUGCUGUUCAGCAAUUUAAACUACCUGUUUUGCCCUUGCUGUAGUUAAAGAAGGGGAAAGAUCUCACCAAAACAUGGCCUAGGAGGAAAAAAACCAAAUAAUAUGACCCACCAAAAAAACAACUGCCAGUUCCAGAAAUAUGACAUAGAUGGCUUGUUUCUAAUAAGAGAAUAACUUCUUGGGAAAAUAGUAGGAGCGUGACUUGUUAGUCUCUGUGAACACCCCAGGAACUGGUUUCUAUUGCAGUAAAUUUCUAUAGCCUUCAGUGCUGCUUCUGUUCUCCUAUAAAAUUAGAUGGGACUGAAAUUCUCUACUAAUAGCUUGAGACAACUAAAGUUAAUUUCUCAACUACUCCAAUUAGUACUAAAAUAUGCUUACAAAACAGCAACUUGAUUGAGAAAAUGAAGGAAAUGAAAGCCAGUGUCAGAGAUCAAUCAAGUAUGAGGAUUAAUUUUCUCCAGAACAUGAGUUUUCUUUAAAAGCUGUUGUUUGUGCUUGAUCAAAUUGUAAAUCUGUUAGUAAAUUAAUUAAUAACUGAGACAUUAUGAAUUCUGUAAAAGCAUCAUGUAUUAGUGAUCACCUGAGGCUUUUGAGAAAGUUUUAAGCUGUGAGGCUUUUGAGAAAGUUUUAAGCUGUGAGUGGUCUCCCAAUUCUGCUACAGUACUUUUGAAAGCUGUGCAUUCCUGGACCUCCUUUUCCCAGUCUUUGAGGACUGUGUCAGGCUGCAAGUGAAAGCACUUCUGUUUGAGGAACCACUGAAGCAUACAUAACUAUGAAGACUUAAAAUAUGUAAAAGAUUCUGUUCUGGGACAUGGUGUGACAGAAGAUGCCCUUUGUCCUUAGGCAUCACAGGGCAUCCUUCACUCCAUACACACUUGCGGAGUGUUCACUGGCAAGCUGCUUUCUGCUGCCUCACUCCUUCUGUUUCCAUUUUCAUGUGUUUCAGUGGCAUACUGAGACCCAAGCCCUAGUGGGCCCAAAGCUAGGUAGAAAAAGAAAUUUAGAAGCCUAAAUAUGGUCUCAAGGUAUGUCUAACAACACAUCUCAAGUCAAUAGCACUCAGAUUUUCAUCAAUAAUAUUUUCUGAGAUCAGAGAGAUCUGAUUCUAAGCAUUAAAGUGUCUGCCAUAUCCACAUUAUUAUUUCUGUUAACUUGCUGCACUGAAGAAUUACAGUGGGAAUGAGAGAUGGGAAGGAAAAAAACACCCCAAAGCAUGAGGAAGGGUAAACAUUCCUAUUUCUGUUUUAAAGACAUCAGCAAGGAUGUGAAAGAUUGAAGAUGAUUUCUCUCUUGCAUCUGGGAAUGUUAGCCCAGACUCAGGAAAUGUUCCUGCCUUGCAGGUGACACUCAUCUGGGCUGAGGGAGUCCUCAGUUGAAACUGCUUUUUUGCACACAAAAAACCCAUGAGACUUAGCUAAAAACAUUAAGCAGCAGUUUAGAUUUGUGAAGUUGAUAUAUCUAACUUCGAUUAUGUGCAAGGCAGCUUUAGUGCAGAUAUCACUGCUUGUGCUCUCCUGAUGGGAAGGGGAGUUGAAGAUGCACCGUAGGCUCUCUUGUUGGCAUUUUUGAUUCCUGUUGGCUACCUUUGGCAUCUGGCAUCUUGCUGGUCUCUGAAGCUGAGGCACCUCCUUUUCUUGCAAUUUUAGAACUCAGUGUACAGGUACACACUGUACCUUGUAAGGACAGUGCUUCAAAAUUUGGCAGUGAUAUCUAGGCAGCAUGUAGUUCAGCUGUUAAAUACCAGGUAACAUAUAUAUCAAGUUAUAUUCUAUGACAGAGGGAAAAUAAUCCAUAAAAUUUCUUUGUAAAUAAGUAUUUUCAGCCUAUUUAAGUACUCGAACUUCAUGGUUAAUAUUAAUCCAGGCCAUUUCCUCAUCUGAAAACUGCAGAAAAUUUGUACCAGGACAUAUGUCAAACAUAUCCACAUAUAACAUGGUAGUUGAAAAGGCAAAGAUUUUACUUUUUCCAGAUAGUCUUCUCUAAAACAUAUAAACACUCUUAAGUCCUGUACAUCUAAAGAAUUAUUAGUAAAUCUUGAACACAGAUGUAACAUAUCUGAAGAUUAAAUGUGCUCCAUCCAGAGACAAAAUAAUUAAUUCAAUACUGAGACACAGAUCUACAGCAUCCCUGUUUGCAUUUCAUGAUUCCUCUGGAUGAUUUAGAGUGUGAGAUUGACUCAAUACCCAGAACAUACAACAGAAGCUCAUUAGCUUUUCACUCAUUUUUCAAAUACUUUUUGUUCCAAUAGAAGCAAUGAAUUAAAAAUCAAAGCAUGAGUUGCUGUAAUGUACUUCUCAUAGUUACGUGCAGGCAGUUUCUGCUUUUUCUUUUAUUCCUUAUUUAAGGUCUUCUGAUUCAGUGACAAUUCAUUUAUGUAAAUAUAGUUUAAAAAAUGUACUCAGAGUUCAUUCCAGUUUCUAAAAUGGUUGACUUUGGAAUGCUAUCUCUUCACUGAAGUUCUGUAAUAGAAAUGCUUCAUGACAUGCACACAAAGAACAGCCCAAGCAGCAAGUUACACCAGAAUUUUUCUGGCUUCAACAUUAAUAGGAAGUGCUUGGGAAAUUCCUGGUUUGAAAUGUUUUUGAUGGAGU